UACGUAGGGUGCGAGCGUUAAUCGGAAUUACUGGGCGUAAAGCGUGCGCAGGCGGUUAUUUAAGUCAGGUGUGGAAGCCCUGGGCUUAACCUAGGAAUUGCGCUUGAGACUGGAUAGCUUGGAGUGCGGCAGAGGGAGGUGGGAUUCCACGUGUAGCAGUGAAAUGCGUAGAGAUGUGGAGGAACACCGAUGGCGAAGGCAGCCUCCUGGGCCAGCACUGACGCUCAUGCACGAAAGCGUGGGGAGCAAACAGG
rnacentral:rRNA from 1 species